UUGAUCAUGGCUCAGAGUGAACGCUGGCGGCAGGCCUAACACAUGCAAGUCGAACGGCAGCACAGAGGAGCUUGCUCCUUGGGUGGCGAGUGGCGGACGGGUGAGGAAUACAUCGGAAUCUGCCUUAUCGUGGGGGAUAACGUAGGAAACUUACGCUAAUACCGCAUACGACCUACGGGUGAAAGCGGAGGACCUUCGGGCUUCGCGCGAUAAGAUGAGCCGAUGUCGGAUUAGCUAGUUGGCGGGGUAAAGGCCCACCAAGGCGACGAUCCGUAGCUGGUCUGAGAGGAUGAUCAGCCACACUGGAACUGAGACACGUCCAGACUCCUACGGGAGGCAGCAGUGGGGAAUAUUGGACAAUGGGCGCAAGCCUGAUCCAGCCAUGCCGCGUGUGUGAAGAAGGCCUUCGGGUUGUAAAGCACUUUUGUCCGGAAAGAAAAGCACUGGGUUAAUACCCUGGUGUUCUGACGGUACCGGAAGAAUAAGCGCCGGCUAACUUCGUGCCAGCAGCCGCGGUAAUACGAAGGGUGCAAGCGUUACUCGGAAUUACUGGGCGUAAAGCGUGCGUAGGUGGUUUGUUAAGUCUGAUGUGAAAGCCCUGGGCUCAAACCUGGGAAUUGCAUUGGAUACUGGCGAGCUAGAGUGCGGUAGAAGGAUGGCGGAAUUCCC
rnacentral:rRNA from 1 species